CAUUACUGUUGCAAGCAGGGCGUUCCACAGCCUCACUACUCUAAGUAAAGAACCUUUCCUCUAAUGUCUGUCCUAGAUCUAUGACAGAUUCCCCAGGGCCAGGGGGGAAUAAAUCUGUGUCAAUCCCCUUCAUCUUCAGAGUCUGGAUUAUUUAAUGAAAUCUCUUCUCAUUCUUCUAGAAUGUAAAGAAUAUUAGCCCAAUUUACACAGCCUCUCAUUGCAGGACAACUCCCACAUCUGAAGGGGCCAAUCCAGUGAAGUUUUGCUGUUUCCCUUUCAAUGAAAAGAAUUGUACCUGGGCACUUCCACCUAAGAUGUCAGCAUGGACAAGUUGGGCCGAAGGCUCUGAGACUCAGGGUGUAGACUCGCAUUUAUUGCUCAGUGCCCUCUUGAACCACUUGGUGAAGGGAUGCUCGGUUCAGUUUGGGAG